rnacentral:lncRNA from 1 species
CCUUUCUGCCCUCUGCCAUGUGAGGUCACAGUGUUCCUCCCUCCUGAGGAUGCAGUGUUCAUGAAAGCAAACACUGGGCCCUCACCAGGCAACAAACCUGCUGGUGCCUUCAUCUUGGACUUCCCAGCCUUCGGAACUAUGGAGCCCGCACUCUCCAGUUCAUCACCACCCCAGCAUCCCUACUCUUGCAUCUAACAGUUUCCGCUAUUUUGCACCACCUGCCUGGCCCUUAUGGGCAACUCAAGGAAGAAAGGAAAGAAGAGAUAGAGGAAAAAUGGAUUCAACAAAUGAAAGUGUUCUUUCUGACUACUGCUGUGUUUACAAACAUUUUAAUCAUCAAAACAUGCUUUAUUUGAUAGAAAGAUCAAAUCUGCCUUUGUAAAACAAGAGACUAUUUUAAUCAUUAAGACAACACACAUGUUUGAUUUGGAGGCGUGUUCUCAUUCAAAACCUUGCAAAAUAUAAUUUCUUCUUGUCUGGGAGAUGGUGUCUUUCUUCGGGGAGAACCUUGAGAGAAAUGUCUAUGAAUGUGUCUGUAGAUUGAGGAUAGGCCAACAAACAUAUUUUGAAAUAUUUUUUCUUUCUUUUAAAAAAAUAGAUACUUUUAAAAGAAAAUGCUUAUUUAAAUUACAUAGCUCUUUUUUUCACUCUCAGUCAUCAUUUGUGGUUUCAGUCAGUACUACAUUUAUUCCCCAGAGCUAGGAUUGCUGUGUUUUUAGAAAGGGAGCCUGUUUGAAGGGACUCUAUACUCUUGCAGUAAUUAAAAUCCUUUUAGGAGUCUUUGACUUUGACUUACUGCUUUGUUUUAAAUUAUUGAAAUUAUUCAACUUCCCCAUUCUAACCCACGGAAGGCUGUUGUUGUUCUCAUUUAUAAUGGCACAAUAUAAGUUUAAAGAUAGCUGUCUCCACAUGAAUGCAUCUGCAAAUCCAUCUCUCUUCUCUCUUCUGCCAUCCAGGUUAAGAAGCUCCACUGCGCUUUGUCCAUUGCAAGUUGAGAAGUGAGGCCCCAGCUGUCACAUACAGUGAGUGAAGAAGCUGAGCUUCCCUCAACGCCUGGGCCUGUAUGAAUUUUUUUUUUUUUUUUUUUUUUGGAGACGGAGUCUCACUUUGUUGCCCAGGCUGGAGUGCAAUGGCACUAUCUCAGGCCACUGCAACCUCUGCCUCCCAGGUUCAAGCGAUUCUUCUGCCUCAGCCUCCUGAGUAGCUGGGAUUACAGAAGUGCACCAUUACAGCUUGCUAAUUUUUGUAUUUUUAGUAGAGAAGGGUUUUCACCAUGUUGGCCAGGUUGGUCUCGAACUCUUGGCCUCAGGUGAUCCGCCCGCACAGCCUCCCAAAGUGUUGGGAUUACAGGCGUGAGCCACUGCGCCCGGCCUUAGGCUCCAUCACAAGAGGGAGCCCCAUUGCUAGUCCCCAUCCUCAAAGCCUCUGCGUGAUGUUGUCUACUGUUACUCUUCACUACCCUGUGGGAGCCAAAGCCCUGGACAUAAGAACAGAAGGCAAUGGUGGCUGAGAGGAAGAACUGACACCUUUGUGCUAUCAGAGCACUUUGCAGAGGAGCUGUUAGUGGCCCUGUAGGAGUCUGCUGGCCAUACAUCUGGGUGUCAAAUCAAGAGAGCAUGAGAAGUUGGACAGGAAAGGUCCAAGGCAAAAUGGUUACUAAAGGCCAUCCCUGAUCCUGACCCUAAAAGAAGAAAAGGCCCUUUGCUCUUGGCAUGCUUUUGCAGGAGUGUCUCAGUCUGUUUGGGCUGCUAUAACAUUGACUGGGUGAUCUGCCUGCCUGGCCUCCCAAAGUGCUGGGGUUACAGGUGUGAGCCGCUGCACCAGGCCUUGAGGUCAGGAGUUCGAGACCAGCCUGGCCAACAUGGUGAAACCUGUCUUUACUAAAAAUACAGAAAUUAGCCAGGCAUGGAGGCGCAUGCCUGUAAUCCCAGCUACUGGGGAGGCUGAGGCAGGAGAAUCGCUUGAACCCAGAAGGUGGAGGUUGCGGUGAGCCCAGAUAGUGCCAUUGCACUCUAGCCUGGCCAACAAGAGUGAAACUCUGUCUCAAAAAAUAAAUAAACAAACAAACAAACAACA